UCUCCUGUGUUUUCAGGCAGCAGUAUGCUUACCUUAAUCGCAUUCAUUCUGUGGCUAGGAUUGCUAGAGGAUCCAGCCUAUGUGAUUUGCUUUAGGAGCAGUUAAGAGGUAUAUUCUUAAGGUGUAUUCUAUUUUGAUCUAAUUCUGUUCUGGGGAGCAUCUUGUACUGUCACUGUUUUUGUACUAAAUCUUCAACUAUUGUCUACUGUGUCAGGCAGAAAACGUUCAUCUCAUGAGAAACCACACUGUGUCCAGGGUGACGAGUCCCGCGGUGCAUGCACACCUUGUUUCCCUGUGACAUUCACGUUCUCAUUUACAACUCUAAUUUUCAAACAGAAAAGUCUUUACAGCUAUAUAGGGGCACCCCCAGAUGCUGCAGUGACUUCGGCUAUCAACAAACUGUUAACCAUGUACAAUUCUGGAAAUAGGCUGAUUUUGACGUGUUGCCUAUUCUUCAAGUACACAAAACAUUUUGGAGGCCUCAAUUAUGAGUGGCAGAGCUUUCUGUGUAUAAUUUGUCUACAUAAUUUGUCUAAUAAAAUUGUUUUCUAAACUUG
rnacentral:lncRNA from 1 species